UGUCGUCAGCUCGUGUUGUGAAAUGUUGGGUUAAGUCCCGCAACGAGCGCAACCCUUAUCCUUUGUUGCCAGCGGUCCGGCCGGGAACUCAAAGGAGACUGCCAGUGAUAAACUGGAGGAAGGUGGGGAUGACGUCAAGUCAUCAUGGCCCUUACGACCAGGGCUACACACGUGCUACAAUGGCGCAUACAAAGAGAAGCGACCUCGCGAGAGCAAGCGGACCUCAUAAAGUGCGUCGUAGUCCGGAUUGGAGUCUGCAACUCGACUCCAUGAAGUCGGAAUCGCUAGUAAUCGUGGAUCAGAAUGCCACGGUGAAUACGUUCCCGGGCCUUGUACACACCGCCCGUCACACCAUGGGAGUGAGUUGCAAAAGAAGUAGGUAGCUUAACC
rnacentral:rRNA from 1 species